GAUGAACGCUGGCGGCGUGCCUAAUACAUGCAAGUCGAGCGAACAGAUGAGGAGCUUGCUCCUCUGACGUUAGCGGCGGACGGGUGAGUAACACGUGGAUAACCUACCUAUAAGACUGGGAUAACUUCGGGAAACCGGAGCUAAUACCGGAUAAUAUAUUGAACCGCAUGGUUCAAUAGUGAAAGACGGUUUUGCUGUCACUUAUCGAUGGAUCCGCGCCGCAUUAGCUAGUUGGUAAGGUAACGGCUUACCAAGGCAACGAUGCGUAGCCGACCUGAGAGAGUGAUCGGCCACACGGGAACUGAGACACGGUCCAGACUCCUACGGGAGGCAGCAGUAGGGAAUCUUCCGCAAAGGGCGAAAGCUUGACGGAGCAACGCCGCGUGAGUGAUGAAGGUCUUCGGAUCGUAAAACUCUGUUAUUAGGGAAGAACAAAUGUGUAAGUAACUAUGCACGUCUUGACGGUACCUAAUAAGAAAGCCACGGCUAACUACGUG
rnacentral:rRNA from 1 species